UGGGAAGAGUGACUCCAUGUCCCCAGUGUGCUGGUUCCAAAAAGCAGAGGACACAGUCAGAAGCCCCACGACAGCCCGAACCCCAGGCAAGAGGGAGCCUGCAGGCUAGCCCCACGCGGGCCUGUGACAUCCCCCCCAAGUCCCACAGUCAGAGCGGUGGCCCUGGAGGACAAAGGGCUCUCUGUUAAUUGGGGCCUCAACGUCCCCUGGCAGCAGAACCAGGGUUAUCGCUGAGGCUUGGUAUCAGCACUAUAAAUACACUGCUCCUGGUGGCCAUAUUUCUCAUUUUAUUGGACAGGGCAGAAAGAAAUUGAGAGAGGAGGGGGAGAUGGAGAAAGACAGACACACCUGCAGACCUGCUUCACUACUUGAGAAGCGUUCACCCUUCAAGGGAGGAGCAGUGGCUCAAACCUGAACCCUUGCACAGGCCCUUGUGUUUAGAGCUCGGUGCGCUUAACCAGGUGUGCCAUUGCCCGGCCCCUUUAUUUUAGUUUAUUUUAGACCAGUUUUUAUUUGUGAUUAAUAGCGGGUUACCCAAUUAUAAGACUACAUGGUCUAGGCUCCAUAUCACAGCCACCCUCACAGUUCUGAGUCCCACCCUCCCAACCAUCAGCAUCACUGUUCUCACAAAGUCUUAGAAACAGUUUCCAUAGCCCACCUUUUUGUUCCUUCCAGACUACUACAAAUGGCGAUACUCUAUUGUUCCUGGCUGAGUCGUAUUCCAUCAUGCCCACAUACCCGACCUCCUUUAUCACUCAGGCAGCUGCCUCUCGGUGUAAACCUCACUCCUGAAAGCCCCUAGGGGCUCUACCUCUUGGGGUUCAGUGCAGAUCUGAGAUUGCUUCUCAGUCCUGGGUCCUGGGAUUAAG